UACGAGUGCCCCAAGCGUUAUCCGGAAUCAUUGGGCGUAAAGGGUGUGUAGGUGUCUUCUUAAGUUUCUUGUCAAAUCUCCUUGCUCAACAAGGAAUCCACAAGAAAAACUGGGAAGAUUGAGGGUGCGAGGGGUGAAUGGAACUCAUGGAGUAGGGGUGAAAUCCGUUGAUAUCAUGGGGAACACCAAAAGCGAAGGCAAUUCACUGGCGCAUUCCUGUCACUGAGACACGAAAGCGUGGGUAGCGAACGGG
rnacentral:misc_RNA from 1 species